UACGAAGGGGGCGAGCGUUGUUCGGAAUUACUGGGCGUAAAGCGUGCGUAGACGGCUAUCUAAGUCGGGUGUGAAAGCCCCGGGCUCAACCUGGGAAUUGCAUUCGAGACUGAAUAGCUAGGGUACGGUAGAGGGAAGUGGAAUUUCCGGUGUAGCGGUGAAAUGCGUAGAUAUCGGAAGGAACAUCAGUGGCGAAAGCGACUUCCUGGACCAGUACCGACGUUCAGGCACGAAAGCGUGGGGAGCAAACAGG
rnacentral:rRNA from 1 species